GAGAGGUGACUGAGCGGUUGAAAGUACCGGUCUUGAAAACCGGCGAGGGUGUAAGUCCUCCGAGGGUUCGAAUCCCUCCCUCUCC
rnacentral:tRNA from 1 species